rnacentral:rRNA from 1 species
UACGGAGGGUGCAAGCGUUAUCCGGAUUUAUUGGGUUUAAAGGGUCCGUAGGCGGACGAUUAAGUCAGCGGUGAAAGCCCACAGCUCAACUGUGGAACUGCCAUUGAUACUGGUUGUCUUGAGUACGGUUGAUGUUGGCGGAAUAAGUCAUGUAGCGGUGAAAUGCAUAGAUAUGACUUGGAACCCCGAUUGCGAAGGCAGCCAACAAAGCCGAAACUGACGCUGAGGGACGAAAGCGUGGGUAGCGAACAGG